CACUGUUAACGAUUUCUGUAAAUUACACUGUAUUUUACUGUAAUAUGAACUGUAUUUUACCGUAGGGCAUGUUAUACAGUAUGUUGCUGUAUUUUGAUGUUGCAUUGUGGGAAAUGUAAUCUUUGUGCCAGUAAAAUACUGUAUUUUCUAUUUACUGUAAAAUUUACAGUUAAUUAAAAAUACUGUAUUUUAAUAGCAGGUGGUGCUAAUUUGUUUUUUGGGGAUUAACUCUCUGAUUAAGCUAUCUUAUACAAAUAAUGUAAUAUUAUUGUAUUUAUAUAUUGAUUUAAAAUGUAAAGUAAAAUUCAGAAGACUUAAACAAAGUCCUAAAAACAAUCAAACAACUAAAUUAGUGCAAGUAGAGCUGAUUUAUUUAUCAAAACACAAUAUAAUCAUCUUCAUUAAAGUAUUUUGUAUAUUCGAAUUAAUUUACAAAUGUAAGUGUUUAAAAAUUAGAGAUAGGUUUUGCCGGUUGUUGAUGAGUGAUGAAUACCAGCUGUGAAUUUUCUCAACGCGUGUAAGCAGCCACGACACAGGAAACCGAAACAGUGUUCCAAUAUAAAGUGAGGGUCCUUGACAGUGGCCGAACCCGCAUACUACACGAUAUAAUGAUUCCCCACCUCGGGAGCUAUAGGGAACGAAUUGAGACACAGCCCUGGAUGUAAUCACGUCUGUGCUGAUCACGUGCCUGUACACAAACCCGCCGCAGCUCACUUGCAAAAGAUUAUCCUGUUAUUUAUUACACGUAUACGUAAAGUAAACGUUUUUAAUGUUAUCAUGAAUCAAUGUUAUAGUUUUGUAUGUCACAUUAUUUUUUGAGAAGAGUCAUGACUCAACGCGGACCUUACACGCUGUUAAUUUGUGUGUGCAUAUGGCGGUACAGGCUCUUUUGCACUCUAUGACCAGCCAUCAUUAAAUCGAAAUACAGUAAAAAAAUGAGCGCGAAACCCUGACACUUUACAGAAAGGCACGGAUAUCCCCGCCCGAAGAAAAAAAGAGCACAGGACAAUGGUUGCAAGUUAAACAGCUGAACAUUUCACCAUCUGCAAAGAACAUUUCACCAUCGACAUAUCAACAUAAACGGUUCUCUUUUUCGUGUUUGACUGCGUUUGGUACAGGUCACAACAACAACGGCAGAUGCAGAGACCACGCUUUCCCUUGCUUCCACUCCACGGCUGAUCAUGCUUGAGGAUCCAGAUCUACAAAACAAAAAAUGGAUGCUGCCGAUUGAAGGCUAAGUCCGCUUUCCUGCGAUUGACCUACCAUUUCUUCAGCUUUUGCUGUUCACUUUGGUUGCUACUACGUGCUCAACAUCGAGUACCAAGUGGAAGCAGCCACUACUUUGGAGUUUAUUCAGAGAUUUAUUGUGAGGAUCAGCCCCGACAACAGCAAGUGCUCCUCUAAGUUCCAGGUGAGCAAAAGAAGUGGGAAGAUGGUGCAAAGGAAGAACUCUGGCCUGAACCAUCAUGUAUAUAUCCACCUUUAUUCAGGACUUUAUGAAUUAAGCAAAACUAUUAAGCAACUAAAGCAAAUACAUUCUACUCAACUCACCAGAGGUUUGUGAAGUUCUUUUUUUAUCUUAAAGGUUUCUUUUAGUUAAUUUGUCCAUGCACUGAUUUAUAAUAUUGUAAUAUGAAACUCCAGUGUAUACAUGUUACUACUGUUGCUUCUAAAAGCAAAAUAAGUCUACGCAGGAGAGGUUUUGUUACGUUUUUUUUAUUAUUCUUAUAGACGGUUUCAUCGGAUGCACGUGAUACACGUCUGGAUCCGAACCUUACUUCCGGUUUCGCUUUUUUAAUGGUCUGACUAGUUGCUAAACUGAUCUCUUGAACAAAUGCCUCGUCGAAAAUAACAAAUGUUUUGGUUUCCGAGCUAAUCUAUGUGUUGUUGUUUUUUGCUUGUUAUAUAAAUAAAAUGCGUUUAAAGAACUUUGUUGUUUUUUAUUCUUAGCGGAGUUUAUCGGAAGUUCAUGCGGACCGCGACAGCCGUUUGUUUAUGUUGUUACUGCUGAAACCGUCUAUAGUUAUAACUGAAUUUGUACUAAGAUUAUUUGAUAAUACUGUGAAAUGAAACGGUGAGUAAAUGUUACAUUGGCUUUGAAAAAGCUGUUGCUGCAAGAAAUUACAAUUUACUCAGAAUAAUAUUUUGAAUGUAUGAGUUUUUGACAUUGCUUAUGACUGCAUUUGAAUGUAUUGUUCAUGAAUUGAUGCUGUGAUGUGUGUGUAAAUGUUUUGUGUGUUACAGGAUAAAAGAUUUGCUAAAAGUAUUUUGUAUUUGAACAUUGUUAUUAUGACUGAGUUAGUGCAUGAUUUGAUUUAAAAUUCUGUAAUAUGAUAUCUAUGAGUAAAUGUUAUUGCCGGUUUGAGAAAAACAGUUUGUGAUGCAAGCUGAAAGUUCAAUGUGCAAAAAUAUGAAAAUCUGAUUUCAUGUAUUUGAAAAACUAAAAGAAAUUUUAAAAACAUGUUGUCAUUGCUUAUUUUUGUUUUUACUUAAAGCUGUUUUAACACCUCCAUUUAAAUUUUGUGCAGUUUUGUAGUAAAUAGAAAUGGGAAAAUGAAUCACAGGAAAUUUUACAGUAAA